UACGUAGGGUGCGAGCGUUAAUCGGAAUUACUGGGCGUAAAGCGUGCGCAGGCGGCUUUGCAAGACAGAUGUGAAAUCCCCGGGCUCAACCUGGGAACUGCAUUUGUGACUGCAAGGCUAGAGUACGGCAGAGGGGGAUGGAAUUCCGCGUGUAGCAGUGAAAUGCGUAGAUAUGCGGAGGAACACCAAUGGCGAAGGCAAUCCCCUGGGCCUGUACUGACGCUCAUGCCCGAAAGCGUGGGGAGCAAACAGG
rnacentral:rRNA from 1 species